GACGAACGCUGGCGGCGUGCUUAACACAUGCAAGUCGAACGGAAAGGCCCCUUUGGGGGUACUCGAGUGGCGAACGGGUGAGUAACACGUAAGUAACCUGCCCUUGACUUCGGGAUAACUUCAGGAAACUGGGGCUAAUACCGGAUAGGAAUCCUUGCUGCAUGGUGGGGGUUGGAAAGCUUCGGCGGUUUUGGAUGGACUCGCGGCUUAUCAGCUUGUUGGUGGGGUAGUGGCUUACCAAGGCUUUGACGGGUAGCCGGCCUGAGAGGGCGACCGGCCACAUUGGGACUGAGAUACGGCCCAGACUCCUACGGGAGGCAGCAGUGGGGAAUAUUGCACAAUGGGCGGAAGCCUGAUGCAGCAACGCCGCGUGCGGGAUGACGGCCUUCGGGUUGUAAACCGCUUUCAGCAGGGGCGAAGCUUGUGGUGACGGUACCUGCAGAAGAAGCACCGGCUAACUACGUG
rnacentral:rRNA from 1 species